UCUCCCUUUCUCUCCUCUGCGCCGCCUCGCCCCUCUCUCACCACGCCGCAAAUCUGGAUCGACAGCGACGAGCGACGCCGCGUUUCCUCGCCACACCGAAACAACGGACUCGGCACCGACGGCGACGGGCGGCGCGAACGUUCCUCACCACACCGGACGCAGACGGAGGCGCCUCCCCUGGUUUCUCGCGGAACAUGACGAGCUGGAGCAGACAAUGGACAAAGAAAAGGGGAAGGCGAGUGGGAAGAAGGAGAAAGAAGGACGUUGGACUCCAUUAUGAAGAGCAAGUUGCCGGUCUCGAGGAUGCAGAAGGGGAAUGGGAAGGGCAAUGCAGCAGCUACUAUGCGGCUGCCAAGGAAGCUGGCAAAUGAUUCCAGCAAUGUCCCAAUCGCUGAGUUGUUGUAUAGGGUAAAAAAGAAACCUCCGCCAUGACGUCUCCUUGACCCCACCAGCGCUGGCGUGCGUGCCGGAAUCGCCGUUGCCUUCGGCUCCGCAAACUACUAUGAGAGGGAGGCUACAUCUUCCCAGGCAAUGGAACAUGAUAAGCAAGUGGAGGAGGAUCAUGAAGAGGUGGAAGAGGAUGAGCGUCCAAGCUCAUGUGUGUGUGUGUGUUGUUUUGGUGUGCUAGGCAAUGGAACAUGAUAAGCAAGUGG